UAAAAUUUUAUAAAGUGUUUC
rnacentral:piRNA from 1 species